AACGAACGCUGGCGGCAGGCCUAACACAUGCAAGUCGAACGCCGUAGCAAUACGGAGUGGCAGACGGGUGAGUAACGCGUGGGAACCUUCCCAAUGGUACGGAAUAGCUCAGGGAAACUUGGGGUAAUACCGUAUAAGCCCGAGAGGGGAAAGAUUUAUCGCCAUUGGAUGGGCCCGCGUAGGAUUAGCUAGUUGGUGAGGUAAUGGCUCACCAAGGCGACGAUCCUUAGCUGGUCUGAGAGGACGAUCAGCCACACUGGGACUGAGACACGGCCCAGACUCCGACGGGAGGCAGCAGUGGGGAAUAUUGGACAAUGGGCGAAAGCCUGAUCCAGCCAUGCCGCGUGAGUGAUGAAGGCUUUAGGGUUGUAAUGCUCUUUUGGCGGGGAAGAUAAUGACGGUACCCGCAGAAUAAGCCCCGGCUAACUUCGUGCCAGCCGCCGCCGUAACAC
rnacentral:rRNA from 1 species